CUUUCUCCGAGCGGAACUCUUUCAUGGGGGCCCCCCUUGUAUCCGCCACUGCCAAAUCCUCCACCAGCAGACGAAGAUGGCCUCCCGUCCCCUCAUAACCCAGAUGGGGUUGGACCUGUGCCAGGUGGAGGAGCUGUUGGAGGAGCUGCAGAAGGUACUGGAGCUGAAGGCAGAAAGCCACCAGCAAAAACAAGGACCAGAGUGAAUGAGCAGAGAGGGACAGAGGAGCGGGAGACUGAAGAAGAGCUAGAAGAGCUCAGAAAAGAACUGGAGAAACGUAAGAGAAAAUAAAAAAGUAGAAAAACAAGAAGCAAAGUAAUGAGUGCAAGCAGGAGGAAUGAAGUAGCCAAGAUGAAGCUGCAAGGACAGCAAUGAAGGACAAAGCAGAAAAGACCAGCAGAAGGAUAGAAAGAAAAUGUUCCCAAUAAUACACUACCCCAACCCCAAUGGAGGCGGGAUGGUAGAAAGAUGGAUAUGGCAGCAGUUCCAGCUCCCACCAAGCCUUUCUCUGUUGAUGACGUCGUUGCUUUGCAGGCAACAGUUGAUGAGUCAGAGAGAUAAGUGGGCUGGGUGCUGUUGUAAAGAUACUCCGGGUGUGUGGCUGGAUGAGUGGAGCAGACCAGCCAUUUUGUUUAACCAGAAUGCCCAGGGUGUCUCGGGCCCAACUCUAAUGACCUGACUGGUGCGUCGGUCAGAGACUCUGGCUGCUCCCACCCCUACAUGUCCUCAGCCAUGACCAUCUAGAACACUGCCGACUGGACAUCAGCAACAUUAAGAGCAACUACAAACAAGCUACUGAGGACAGUGUCCCAGUCCAGGGUCCAGGGCCCCAUCAGGCCAGGUCUGCUCCUGUGUGGAUGCCACCAGAGCCUCCCUUAGUAGGCAUGACUGGAGGAGGUACACAGACCUGAUGAAUCCUUCAUCUGCUGGGUGUCUCUGUCAUCUCUCAUUGUCUUGAUGGAUACGUUGAUGUCGAGAGGUGACACCGGCAAGAAUAUGACAGCUAUUGAAUACUGUCUUUUCAAGAUAGUUUUGACACCAUGUUGGCUACGUUAUUCUGUUAUUCUUACUUUGCUGUUUUUUUGUAUUAUUCUUUUUAAUUUGCUGU